CACGUAGGGGACGAGCGUUGUCCGGAUUCAUUGGGCGUAAAGCGCGCGUAGGCGGCUCGGAAAGUCGGUCGUGAAAUGCCGGGGCUCAACCCCGAGCGUGCACCCGAUACUGCCGGGCUUGAGGCAGGUAGGGGAGAUCGGAAUUCCUGGUGUAGCGGUGAAAUGCGCAGAUAUCAGGAGGAACACCGGUGGCGAAGGCGGAUCUCUGGGCCUGUCCUGACGCUGAGGCGCGAAAGCUAGGGGAGCGAACAGG
rnacentral:rRNA from 1 species